UUCAGAUUUUUUAGUCGCAUAAUCAAUACACGGAUACCGAUGCUUUAUUAAUAGUUUGCCAAGCAUGUUGUUAUUUUACCAAGUCGAUGUCUUUUCCUCUGAUUUGGUAAACAUUGAUAACUCGCGCUGCAAAUUUAUUGAGAACAAUGUUUUUCCAGGUACAGUACUGUUCAAAAAACUAUUUUAUUUUUAAUGCGCACCUAAUUGCGAAAAUAAAAGUAAACAAAGAACA